CCUCUACCAUGCUUUUGUGGCCACCACAUAAUCAUGACCAUGUCCCUACGCUUUCUAGUCUCCAUAACCCUGGGAUAAAUAAUCUUGUAUUAAUGAAUCACCAUCUUGGGUAUUUUGUUAUAACGACAGAAAAGAAAAUGAAAAUCUAAUUCCAACAUUCUUCUCUCUAACCUAAUCUUUAUUACUGGGGGUGCCUGUCUUUUCCUUCCAGACAUUUCCAGACCCUUGCACACCAUGACAUACCGAGAAGGAAACAUACCAUCCCCAAGCACAAAAGUGGCCCAGGAUGGAGUAGAACUCCCUGUACUAUCCUGGUUCUGCCCUUUAGUCCCCAGUGAACACUCUGGAUCUCUGUAAGCGCUGACUUGCAGCUUCUACCUCUCGGGGCCUCUUCAGGCUUCUGCUUUCAGGCAGCAGAUGCCAAAACUGCCUUCUCACACAUUUUCUCAAACUCUCACAAAGAAGCACCUGACUAAUGUAUCACGAAGACAUUCUUCUUCCUGUCUCACCCCCCCCCCAUCUCCCUGACCACUGCUAAAAGACUACACUAGCUUUCACCAACCAAUACUUACAAACUCUAGUAACAAAGCUGCCCUUAAUAAAGUAUCUAUAUAUGUAGUUAUCCAAGUCUAGACCAGUGGUCCCCAAUAGGACCUUCUCCUGUAACGUAAUUAGUCGCUGCUUCUAGCUUUAGAAUGUGGCUACUGCCAUGGGCUGGAGAGGUGGUUCAGCAGGUAAAGCACUGGCUGCUCUUUGAGAAGAUCUGGGUUCGAUUCCCAGCACCCACACAGCAGCUUAAACCAUCUGUAACUCCAAUUCUAGGGGAUCUGGUGCCCUCUUUUGGCUUCUGUGGGCACUGCAUACAUAUGGUCUACAGAUUUACAUGCAAGAAAAAGCUCCAUUAAUACUGAUAAGAUAAAAAUAAAAAUAAAAUUAAAAACAACGUGACGGUGUUACUAAACCC
rnacentral:lncRNA from 1 species